ACGGAAGGCAGCAGUGGGGGAUAUUGCGCAAUGGGGGAAACCCUGACGCAGCAACGCCGCGUGAAGGAAGAAGGUUUUCGGAUUGUAAACUUCUUUUAUGAGGGACGAAUAAUGACGGUACCUCAUGAAUAAGCUCCGGCUAACUACGUGCCAGCAGCCGCGGUAAUACGUAGGGAGCGAGCGUUGGCCGGAUUUACUGGGUGUAAAGGGUGCGUAGGCGGCUAGUCAAGUCAGAUGUGAAAUCUAUGGGCUUAACCCAUAAAUUGCAUUUGAAACUGAAUAGCUUGAGUGAAGUAGAGGCAGGCGGAAUUCCUUGUGUAGCGGUGAAAUGCGUAGAGAUAGGGAGGAACACCAGUGGCGAAGGCGGCCUGCUGGGCUUUAACUGACGCUGAGGCACGAAAGCGUGGGUAGCAAACAGGAUUAGAUACCCUGGUA
rnacentral:rRNA from 1 species